rnacentral:rRNA from 1 species
UACGAGGUAGCAAUAUUUCGUAGUUGGAGCGGGGCAAGGGUGCGUAACACGUGGGUAAUCUGCCGUGAAGUCUGGAAUAACUUGCUGAAAGGCGAGCUAAUACCGGAUGUGAAAAUUGGGGGGAAUCUUCUGAUUUUCAAAGUUGGGGACCGUAAGGCCUGACGCUUCAUGAUGAGCCCGCGGCCUAUCAGCUAGUUGGUGAGGUAACGGCUCACCAAGGCUAAGACGGGUAGCUGGUCUGAGAGGACGACCAGCCACACUGGAACUGAGACACGGACCAGACACCUACGGGUGGCAGCAGACGAGAAUUUUUCACAAUGGACGAAAGCCUGAUGGAGCGACGCCGCGUGGGGGAUGAAUGGCUUCGGCCCGUAAACCCCUGUCAUUCGCGAACAAUGCCUGCGUGCUAACACCACGCAAGUUGAUAGUAGCAGAAGAGGAAGGGACGGUUAACUCUGUGCCAGCAGCCGCGGUAGAACAGAGGUCCCAAGCGUUGUUCGGAUUCACUGGGCGUAAAGGGUGCGUAGGUGGUCGGGUAAGUCUGAUGUGAAAUCUCGGAGCUCAACUCCGAAACGGCAUUGGAUACUAUUCGGCUUGAGGGUUGGAGGGUGGACUGGAAUUCUCGGUGUAGCA